UCUCCGUAGGUGAACCUGCGGAGGGAUCAUUACAGAGUUCAUGCCCUACCGGGUAGAUCUCCCACCCUAUGUUAUUAUUACUUUGUUGCUUUGGCGGGCCGUUAGGCUCCGGUCCGACUACCGGCCCCGGCUGGUAAGCGCCCGCCAGAGGACCCAAAACCCUGAAUAUUAGUGUCGUCUGAGUACUAUAUAAUAGUUAAAACUUUCAACAACGGAUCUCUUGGUUCUGGCAUCGAUGAAGAACGCAC
rnacentral:misc_RNA from 1 species